AACCAUUCUCACCUGCGGCUAGACCUGCGGAAGGAUCAUUAAUAAAUGUUACUUCGGUAACUUAAUUAAUCCCUAACACCUGUGCAUCUUGUCGCUUCGGCGUCAUUUUAUAAACAUCAGUGUAAUGAAUGUAACGUAUUAUAACAAAUACAACUUUCAACAACGGAUCU
rnacentral:misc_RNA from 1 species